rnacentral:rRNA from 1 species
UACGUAGGGUGCAAGCGUUAAUCGGAAUUACUGGGCGUAAAGCGUGCGCAGGCGGUUUUGUAAGCCAGAUGUGAAAUCCCCGGGCUCAACCUGGGAAUGGCAUUUGGGACUGCAAGGCUGGAGUACGGCAGAGGAGACUGGAAUUCCUGGUGUAGCAGUGAAAUGCGUAGAGAUCAGGAGGAAUACCGAUGGCGAAGGCAGGUCUCUGGGCUGAUACUGACGCUCAUGCACGAAAGCGUGGGGAGCAAACAGG